ensembl:lncRNA
AUGUGGGAGGAGGGAAUUUUCUGCUUCAUUCCCCCCUCCAUGGGAUGCUGUAUUUCCUUCUCUUCCUUCCUGGGCACUCAAUCUCCUGAUCAGGAAUUUUUUUGGGUGGAAAAGCUGAUUUUUCAAGAGGUUUUUGCACCUUCAGUGACUCGAUUUAGGAACAAUGCCAGUCCACCCUGGAAAAGGAAGGUGUUUAAAGAUAAAUCCUUAUCCACUGACACCAUUUUCACACUCCCAUCAGAGCAGUUCCCACUUUUCCCUGCACCUAAUCCCAGUUCUCCUCUGCUGCAGUUUCCCUCCUUGCUCUGGCUUUGGAUUUCAUCAGCCAAAAGGACACAGCCUUUCCAUCUCAGAACAAAGUGCUCCUCUGAAUUUCUCCUUCCUGAGGAAGAUCACGUUGGCUGGGUCCUGAUUCAGCGUGGAAUUUGUUUUUCCCAUCAUGUGAGAGGCAGAAAACAUCCAGUCCAAGGAGGGCGAUGUCAGCUCCGACGCAAACGCGCUCGGCACGGAGACACGAGGAGAGGGCUCAGCAACAUGAGAACUUUCUGCACUGCCUCGUGCACAAAACCCUCUUGGAAGGACUCAAAACAAACUGAAAGCUCACUGGAAACAUCUCCCUUGUUUGUUUUGGCUCCCAGAGCUUUUCUAAGUGUAAUUACCAGCAGUUGGGAAAUGGAGAGGGAGAAAGAAUCCUUGUGGUUCGUGCUCAGGGGCGGCAGCCCGGGAGACCUGGGUUGAUUUCUAACCUCUGUCACGGUGUCAGAGCAGGAAAAAGAGAUUUAAUUCAUCUGCAGGUCCAUUUGUACAAAAAGGCAUGAGGCUGCCCUGCAGCAGCAGCUCCUGGCACUGAGGUGAACCCUCCAUGUCCUGCUGCUUUUAUGGAAUUCAGACAGAUAGAUGUAAUUAUAUAUCCAUUUUUAAGGGUCUCUGGUGUUUAUAUAUAAAUACAUAAACCUCUCUUAGCAGCACCAUGCUGCUUCAGAGGGGGAAAACCCCCCAUUCCUGCACAGAGCUGCACAUCCCUUUAAGCCUUUAAGGAUUUGUGCCCUGCAAGGACCAACAUCUUCAUUAAGAUCCCCGUUUGCUGGGCAGUGACAAAUCUUUCCCUCAGAACACGGUGAUUAAGGUUUAAUUUUAUUCCGGAUUAUGGGCAGCUCCACUUGCAGAGCAGCCAAGGUUGGGCACGUAUUGCCUGGAAAUGAACGUUCCUCCCCAAAGUGCUUAAGCAGCUUUGGAUAAGAAAUGAUGGUUUGGGGAAGAUUAGGAGCGUAGGGAAGAUCUCCAGGCUAAGAGGGGGUUCAGGGAAAGUGCCAGUGGCUUCAGGAGGAAAUGUUGAGGGUCUGAGGCUUCCAAGGCUUGGGAGAGUUGGAGGAGGAUGGUGGGAGCAGGGUAGGUUAGUGAAGGUGGUGGAUUUACAGGUGGGUGAAGUCAGCCACGUCUAUGGGGGUGAGGUGGGGAGGGUGUGUUUAUAAACCACCAGCAGGGAAAUCUCCAGGCUUCAAUUUGCUCAGAGAACCAAAUCGGCAUUUCUGGAGGUUUUGUGAUGUGGCAGCAGCAAGGAGCAUCACUUGAGAUGAAGUUUAGGUGUCAUCUUAAACACAGUGGGGAAUAAAAUCCCUCUUGCCCAGCCCA